rnacentral:rRNA from 1 species
CCUACGGGCGGCUGCAGUGAGGAAUAUUGGUCAAUGGGCGCGAGCCUGAACCAGCCAAGUAGCGUGAAGGAUGACUGCCCUACGGGUUGUAACCUUCUUUUAUAAAGGAAUAAAGUGAGGCACGUGUGCCUUUUUGUAUGUACUUUAUGAUUAAGGAUCGGCUAACUCCGUGCUGGCAGCCGCGGUAAUACGGAGGAUCCGAGCGUUAUCCGGAUGUCUUGGGUUUAAAGGGAGCGUAGAUGGGUUGUUAUGUCAGUUGUGAAAGUUUGCGGCUCAACCGUAAAAUUGCAAUUGAUACUGGCAGCCUUGAGGACAGUUGAGGUAGGCGGAAUUCGUGGUGUAGCGGUGAAAUGCUUAGAUAUCACGAAGAACUCCGAUUGCGAAGGCAGCUUACUAAACUGCCACUGACAUUGAUGCUCGAAAGUGUGGGUAUCAAACAGGAUUAGAUACCCCAGUAGUC